UUUUGAAACAAAAAAGGAAUUUUUUGUAUAAUUGGAAUUCGAAAGCGAACAUAAUUUUAUUUUAAAAUAUCGUUAUAGUGAGAAUGAUUUUGUAUAAUUUUGUAAGGAUUUCGAUUUGAGAAUCGCAAAUUUAGUGAAAAAGUAAUUUUCCGUGAGAAAUUUUCUUGUUAUAUUUUGUUUAACUUGAAAACCACGAAGGCGAAUUCGACAAAUUUGAUUAGGUGCUGGUGCGCGAUUCUACGCGAAAUUUUAACCCGUUAACGAAACGAAAAGUAAAUGUAGUGCACGUUCCAUAAUGCGGUUUGCCAAAAAGUAGGUGAUUGUUGGAUAAAUAACAAAAAACAAAUGAUUUUCCAUUCUUCAUAACAACUAUUUCAAGCUACAUAUUUUACGUUUCUACUUGGUACUGCUAGAUCAUUCAAUUCAUUUGAACGUAAGUUGAAAUUUUCCAAUAUUGUAAAUCGAAUAAAUUUUUCUCCAUCCAUUAUUCCAAAAUUUAUGCUGAGAAAUUGAUAUUUUUCCCAAAAAUUGAAUGUAACACAAUUUCAAUAUGAUAUACGAGGUAUAUCCACAAAGAAAGUUCCAUUUGUUUAUAAAAGAACAUACGUGGAGGUCAAAAAACAUAUUUUUCAUGCUGUUAACCUAAUUUUCUAUGUAGUUUCGAAAAUUUUUUAAACACUUGUUUUUGUAUGCCUUCUCCCUGUUCUCCGGCUCGUUUCAACUUUGAACGAGAUGAAAGUAAGAAAAAAAACAAAAACCAUUUGACAGUAAUCCUCGGAGUUUGCUCUGUUUCUUAAUUUCCAUCCAACAUCCAAUUAUACUUACAAAACAAUGUUUUCGAAAUCUUUAGGGAUCUUUUGAAAAGUGAAGUUAAAUUUAAAUAUUUCAUUUGAGCAUAAAAUUCAUAAUUCACUCGUGUUUAAAGCAAGUUUAUUCUCUAAAUUAUUACUCAGAUUACUCAGAAUAUGUCGCAAAUUUCGACUACUCCCUUAGAUUCAAACAGAAGAUUGUUAAUAUUUAUGACCAAAGCUAAUUUUUCUCAUUAUAUGAUACUGAUCAAAUAAAAUCUUGAUUUUGUUAUUUUAGAUUGAUUAACUUUUUUCAGCGUUUACUGUAACAUAUUUAAGUCCAGUAAAUAUUUGAUGAAUAAUUAUGAUGAUAAUCAUAUGAUAUAAUUGCUGCAAUACACCUCAAAUUCACUUUGAUUUGAAAUAGUAGUACAUGGAUCCUUCUGAUCAAUAUAAAUGACAAUUAGAUAAUUAAGUAACUAGAAAAUGUGAUUUCCAUUCAAAUGACUUUCCGAGUAAUCUGUUGAGAUUUUCCUGAUCUUUGAGAACAAAUCUGUUUGGUUAAUGAGAUGGUUGUGUGAUGAAUGUCUUUGGAAUUUGAACAAAAAUGAGGCAGGCAACCGCCGCGAUAUGGAAAAGUGAUCGUAAUUUUCGGUAUCGGUUUCGGUGUGCCGCGGAUUCGAUUUUAAGUGAUGGACAUCAUGGAAAUGGAAAAUGGAUAUGGAGGCUUUCCUAUGUGGACAAAGUUAUGUGUUGGUGCGCGAUUCUACUCGAAAUUUUAACCCGUUAACGAAACGAAAGGUAAAUGUAGUGCACGUUCCAUAAUGCGGUUUGCCAAAAAGUAGGUGAUUGUUGGAUAAAUAACAAAAAACAAAUGAUUUUCCAUUAUUCAUAACAAAUAUUUCAAACUACAUAUUUUACGUUUCUACUUGGUACUGCUAGAUAAUUCAAUUCAUUUGAACGUACGUUGAAAUUUUCCAAUAUUGUAAAUCAAAUAAAUUUUUCUCCAUCCAUUAUUCCAAAAUUUAUGCUGAGAAAUUGAUAUUUUUCCCAAAAAUUGAAUGUAACACAAUUUCAAUAUGAUAUACGAGGUAUAUCCACAAAGAAAGUUCCAUUUGGUUAUUAAAGAACAUACGUGCAGGUCAAAAAACAUAUUUUUCAUGCUGUUAACCUAAUUUUCUAUGUAGUUUCGAAAAUUUUUUAAACGAGCAAGGUCCGACCUAUAAGGAGGAUGAUCAAACACACCCCAGCCAAAUUCUUGGAGCGGUUUUUAUGUCACGUCACAGUGUGAGAUGGGGCAUUAUCGUGAAAAAAAAACAAAAACCAUUUGACAGUAAUCCUCGGAGUUUGCUCUGUUUCUUAAUUUCCACGCAUGUGCCUAAAUCAAACGGCAAAACGUCGGAGCAAACGGUGGAAAUGAGUUGUCGAGGUGUCGAAAUUUGCAUCCCCCUAUGACUAUUCGAAAUAUAGGUUUUCAUUGCCACUUAGAAAAGGAACUUACAUUGUGGAUGUACCUCGUAUGAACGAAAUACUAAAAUCAGUUAUUAAAACUUUUUAUUCAAAUUUUUCUAAAAUUUUCGGUCCGAAUUAUUGCAUCAAAUUUUGAUUGAAAUAAUUUUUUUUUGUUAUUGUUGAGAUUAAUACAGUUACAGAUUUUAAUUAUUGAAGAAAAAUAGUUUGAAUUUAUUUUUGAAUAACUUUUUUAACAUUCAGAAAGUUUUAACAAACAUCCAGUUAAACUUACAAAACAUUGUUUUCGAAAUCUUUAGGGAUCUUUUGAAAUAUAAAGUUAAAUUUAAAUAUUUCAUUUGAGCUUAAAAUUCAUAAUUCACUCGUGUUUAAAGCAAGUUUAUUCUCUAAAUUAUUACUCAGAAUAUGUCGCAAAUUUCGACUACUCCCUUACAUUCAAACAGAAGAUUGUUAAUAUUUAUGACCAAAGCUAAUUUUUCUCAUUAUAUGAUAUUGAUCAAAUAAAAUCUUGACGUUGUUAUUUUAGAUUGAUUAAUUCUUUUCAGCGUUUACUGUAACAUAUUUAAGUCCAGUAAUUUAUUUGAUGAAUAAUUAUGAUGAUAAUCAUAUGAUAUAAUUGCUGCAAUACACCUCAAAUUCACUUUGAUUCGAAUUAGUAGUACAUGGAUCCUUUUGAUCAAUAUAAAUGAUAAUUAGAUAAUUAAGUAACUUGAAAAAGGGGAUUUCCAUUCGAACGACUUUCUGAGUAAUCUGUUGAGAUUUUCCUGAUCUUUGAGAACAAAUCUGUUGGGUUAAUGAGAUGAUUGUGUGAUGAAUGUCUUUGGAAAUUGAUCAAAAAUGAGGCAGGCAACCGCCGCGAUAUGGGAAAGUGAUUCGUAAUUUUCGGUAUCGGUUUCGGUGUGCCGCGAAUCGGUUUUAAGUGAUGGAAAUCAUGGAAAUGGAAAAUGGAUAUGGAGGCUUUCCUAUGUGGACAAAGUUAUGUGUUUGUGCGCGAUUCGACGCGAAAUUUUAACCCGUUAACGAAACGAAAAAUAUAUAGUGUGCGAAUCGAUAAAGCGGUAUGCCAAAAGGUAGGUGAUUGUUGGAUAAAUAACAAAAAAACAUAUUUCUUCAAUUUUUAUAACAAAUAUGUAUUUCAAACUACAAAUAUAUGUGUUUCUAAAAUGGAAAUGCUGCUGCAUCAUGAAUAUAAAUAUAGAUGUAAAAUUCUAUUUUCUAUUAUCGUUUUUCUGUGUCACGUUUCUUUCCAAAACUUAACCUGUCUGAAAAAAAAAUUAAAUUUUUUAUGUAAUAAAUUUUUUACAAAUUAAAUGUAAAACAAUUUUCCUAUUGUAAAGAAAAUACUAAAAUUUUUCAUACACGUCUAAAUAACAUUUUUAUAACAGUUUCAAGAUUAAUUUCAGACGAAAUGUUUUUUUUUGUUUUUUAUUGGGUGUGCUAUGAAAAUUAUUUCCAUGAUAAUUUGUUGAUGGUUACAUACAUGAGACAUACAGGAUUCCAGGAACAUUUUGAACGUACGGAGAUAUCGUUUCAAAUUCGUUUACAUAAUUACCUAUCUAUUAUUAAACAGAGCCACUUUAUUUUUGACUUAAUUCGAAAAAUUUGAUUAAAAUUUAGAUUAAAUAUCAAGAAAUUAUAAUACAAUACAUUUUUUUCCAAAAUGUCUGUAGAAACCAUUUAAAAUACAGAGAUUAUUAUCCAAAUAACUUUGAUAAAAUUGAUUAGAUUCUGUUGAAAUUUUAUGUAAAAAUUGAUGGAAUAAAUUAAAAUUUGAAAGUUAAAUGUCCACUCGUUUGGAAACGAGUAAAGAAGAUGAUUGUUUGAAAUAACAAUUAUGGAAUUUUGAAAGUUAUUAAUUUCGAUAAAUUUGUUAAAAGAUUCGAAAAAAAAAAUUGAGAGCGGCUCAAUAUAUCAAAAAUCCAUCUGAAUAUGAAUUGAAACGAAUUAUUUAUUUUUUUAUAGGUAUCUAGGUACAAUGAGGAGUUUGCAGUUCUUUGAUGUGUUAUAUUUCCAAAUUUUUGAAUUUAUUCUUUCUUGUUUUGAUGUUUUGUGUGAUAUGUGAUAUAGUGUGAUCGCAUGGUUAUCCCCGGGUACAAUAAGGACUUGUAGUUUUUAGAAAAUCUCCUUAAACUAAUUAAUUAACGAACUUUUUGUUAAUUUUUUCAAUACUCUUGGUUAUAUAACUAAUUAAGUUUAACUUGUAGAUGUGAUUUCCAUUCAAAUGACUUUCUAAGUAAUCUGUUGAGAUUUUCUUCAACUAUGAGGACGAGGCUGUUGGGUUAAGCUAAUUUUUUUCGGAAAAUUAGUUCCCUAGAAACGACAAGUACAGGCUUGAGGUUGCUCUAACGUAGUGGACUAACAAGUCUGUGCUAUGGGGAUGAUUGUGUGAUGUAUGUCUUUGGAAUUUGAUCAUAAAUGAGGCAGGCAACCGCCGCGAUAUGGAAAAGUGAUUCGAAAUUUUCGGUAUCGGUGUGCCGCGAAUCGAUUUUAAAAGUGUUGGACAAUAUGGAAAUUGGUAUAUGGAAAUGGAUAUGGAAAAUGGAUAUGGAAAGUCUACUUCGUGGAAGACCAUAUGUGAGUACAAAUUUUUAUAUACAUUAAAUUAGGUUGGGUGAUUUCGUUUUCUAAUGAUAGUAAAGUUAUAACGCAAUGAUAAACUUUUGUCUGAUGCUUACAAAGAUAUGAAAAUCAAGUUACUUUUGAGUUCUUUAUUUGAUAGAAAAGUUUCACAACCAAAAAAAUCGUAUGGAAAAAAUUUAUAGAUAUCUGGAGAAUAAUAUUCAUAUGAAUUUGUCUUUUUAUGUUUGGUAUUUUCAGUUGAGUAAAUUGAAAGUAUGUGUGUGAUAUUAUUGUAUCUUGUAUGCGUGUGUAAAAAAUUCCGUUUUGCAAUCUUCAUAUCGAUGGCUACUUCAUUUGUUAUAAAUUUUCGUUUUUCUAUCCUAAACUGAACCUGAAAUUUGAAAAUAUAAAAUAAUAAAAACUUCGGAUCUGUGAAUUACUUUGAUAAUAAUUGAAUGAUAAAAUUAUUAUACACUAUUUUGUUCUUAUACAGAACUUAAUAAAAUUGAAUUUUUCGAAAUGAAAAUUACAUUUUUCUAAUAAUAAUUCGGAAAAAAAACAUAUUUUCUGGACAUUUUAUUUUAUAAUCGACUGUGAACAAUUUAUUCAAACGUUAAUUGUUUCUAAUUUAUAUCAACCCUUAAAAAAAGAAAACUGAACCUGUUUCUUUUUUAAUUUUGAACGUUUUCUGCUCAAGUUAGUUGAAUGUAUACGUGUAAUAAUAUAUUUUGCAAAAUAAAAGAUUUUCUCAAGAAUUUAUCGAAUAUCGAUAGCUACUUCAUUUGUUAUAAAUUUUCAUCAUUCCUACCCAUUUUCGACUUGAAAUUUGAAAAGAUAAAAUAUAACUAUCUAAGGUAAACUUCGAAUCUUACUUAUAGACAUUUGAAUAAUAAAAUCAUCAUAUAUCGUUUUUUCUAAUGGAGAACUUUACAUAAUUAAAUUUUUCGAAACUGAAAUUCCAUUUUACCAAUAAUCAUUUGAGAAAAAAAACAUCUUCUGGACUAUUUUAUUAUAGAAUUGACUUGGGAAAUUUUUUCAAACGUAAAUUAUUUCUAAUAUAUAUCAAUCAUUAAAAAAAAAACACUGAAUCUGUUUAUUUUUAAUAUUUUCUGAUUAAGUUAAUAGAAGAAAGUAUGUAUGUAAUAAUGAUAAAUACCUUUUACGGAAUGGAAAUUUUCCAAAGUCCAUCAAAUAGGAAGCAAACUUGUGUGAAAAAUCAAGUUUUCCAAUCUUCAUAUCGACAACUAUUUCAUUUGUUAUAAAUUUUCGUCAUUCUUUCCCAAACUGGACCUGAAAUUUAAAAAUAUAAAAUGUUGUAAACUACGGAUAUGUGGAUUACUUUGAAAAUUGAUUGAUAAAAUUAUUAUACACUAUUUUGUUCUUAUGCAGAAAUUGAUAAAAUUGAAUUUUUCGAAAGUAAAAUCCCAUAUUUUUAAUAAUCAUUUGAAAAAAAAAAUCAUUUUCUGGACUAUUUUAUCAUAUAAGCGACUUGGAAGAAUUUUUCAAAGUUAUUAUACAUCGUUUUUUUCUAAAACAAAUUUUUAUAAAAUUGAAUUUUUCGAAACUAAAAUUCCAUAAUUUUAAUAAUCAUUUGAAAAAAAAAAUCAUUUUCUGGACUAUUUUAUCAUAUAAGCGACUUGGAAGAAUUUUUCAAAGUUAUUAUACAUCGUUUUUUUCUAAAACAAAUUUUUAUAACAUUGAAUUUUUCGAAACUAAAAUUCCAUAAUUUUAAUAAUCAUUUGAAAAAAAAAUCAUUUUCUGGACUAUUUUAUCAUAUAAGCGACUUGGAAGAAUUUUUCAAAGUUAUUAUACAUCGUUUUUUUCUAAAACAAAUUUUUAUAACAUUGAAUUUUUCGAAACUAAAAUUCCAUGUUUUUAAUAAUCAUUUGAGAAAAAAAAUCAUUUUCUGGACUAUUUUAUCAUAUAAGCGACUUGGAAGAAUUUUUCAAAGUUAUUAUACAUCGUUUUUUUCUAAAACAAAUUUUUAUAAAAUUGAAUUUUUCGAAACUAAAAUUCCAUGUUUUUAAUAAUCAUUUGAAAAAAAAAUCAUUUUCUGGACUAUUUUAUCAUAUAAGCGACUUGGAAGAAUUUUUCAAAGUUAUUAUACAUCGUUUUUUUCUAAAACAAAUUUUUAUAAAAUUGAAUUUUUCGAAACUAAAAUUCCAUGUUUUUAAUAAUCAUUUGAAAAAAAAAAUCAUUUUCUGGACUAUUUUAUCAUAUAAGCGACUUGGAAGAAUUUUUCAAAGUUAUUAUACAUCGUUUUUUUCUAAAACAAAUUUUUAUAAAAUUGAAUUUUUCGAAACUAAAAUUCCAUGUUUUUAAUAAUCAUUUGAAAAAAAAAAUCAUUUUCUGGACUAUUUUAUCAUAUAAGCGACUUGGAAGAAUUUUUCAAAGUUAUUAUACAUCGUUUUUUUCUAAAACAAAUUUUUAUAAAAUUGAAUUUUUCGAAACUAAAAUUCCAUGUUUUUAAUAAUCAUUUGAAAAAAAAAAUCAUUUUCUGGACUAUUUUAUCAUAUAAGCGACUUGGAAGAAUUUUUCAAAGUUAUUAUACAUCGUUUUUAAUAAUCAUUUGAAAAAAAAAAUCAUUUUCUGGACUAUUUUAUCAUAUAAGCGACUUGGAAAAAUUUUUCAAAGUUGUUAUACAUCGUUUUUUUCUAAAACAAAUUUUUAUAACAUUGAAUUUUUCGAAACUAAAAUUCCAUGUUUUUAAUAAUCAUUUGAGAAAAAAAAUCAUUUUCUGGACUAUUUUAUCAUAUAAGCGACUUGGAAGAAUUUUUCAAAGUUAUUAUACAUCGUUUUUUUCUAAAACAAAUUUUUAUAAAAUUGAAUUUUUCGAAACUAAAAUUCCAUGUUUUUAAUAAUCAUUUGAAAAAAAAAAAUCAUUUUCUGGACUAUUUUAUCAUAUAAGCGACUUAAAAGAAUUUUUCAAAGUUAUUAUACAUCGUUUUUUUCUAAAACAAAUUUUUAUAACAUUGAAUUUUUCGAAACUAAAAUUCCAUGUUUUUAAUAAUCAUUUGAGAAAAAAAUCAUUUUCUGGACUAUUUUAUCAUAUAAGCGACUUGGAAAAAAAUUUCAAAGCUGUUAUACAUCGUUUUUUUCUAAAACAAAUUUUUAUAAAAUUGAAUUUUUCGAAACUAAAAUUCCAUGUUUUUAAUAAUCAUUUGAGAAAAAACAAAUCAUUUUCUGGACUAUUUUAUCAUAUAAGCGACUUGGAAAAAUUUUUCAAAGUUGUUAUACAUCGUUUUUUUCUAAAACAAAUUUUUAUAACAUUGAAUUUUUCGAAACUAAAAUUCCAUGUUUUUAAUAAUCAUUUGAGAAAAAACAAAUCAUUUUCUGGACUAUUUUGUCAAAUAAGCGACUUGGAGAAAUUUUUCAAAGUUGUUAUACAUCGUUUUUUUUAUAACAUUGAAUUUUUCGAAACUAAAAUUCUUUAUUUUUAAUAA